rnacentral:rRNA from 1 species
AGAGUUUGAUCCUGGCUCAGAUUGAACGCUGGCGGCAUGCCUUACACAUGCAAGUCGAACGGCAGCGCGGACUUCGGUCUGGCGGCGAGUGGCGAACGGGUGAGUAACAUAUCGGAACGUGCCCUGGAGUGGGGGAUAACUAGUCGAAAGACUAGCUAAUACCGCAUACGCCCUAAGGGGGAAAGUGGGGGAUCGCAAGACCUCAUGCUCGUGGAGCGGCCGAUAUCUGAUUAGCUAGUUGGUGGGGUAAAGGCCUACCAAGGCGACGAUCAGUAGCUGGUCUGAGAGGACGACCAGCCACACUGGGACUGAGACACGGCCCAGACUCCUACGGGAGGCAGCAGUGGGGAAUUUUGGACAAUGGGGGCAACCCUGAUCCAGCAAUGCCGCGUGAGUGAAGAAGGCCUUCGGGUUGUAAAGCUCUUUUGUCCGGGAAGAAAUCCCAUCCCUGAAUACGGGGUGGGGAUGACGGUACUGGAAGAAUAAGCACCGGCUAACUACGUGCCAGCAGCCGCGGUAAUACGUAGGGUGCGAGCGUUAAUCGGAAUUACUGGGCGUAAAGCGUGCGCAGGCGGUUGUGCAAGGCCGAUGUGAAAUCCCCGGGCUCAACCUGGGAACUGCAUUGGUGACUGCACGGCUAGAGUGUGUCAGAGGGGGGUAGAAUUCCACGUGUAGCAGUGAAAUGCGUAGAGAUGUGGAGGAAUACCGAUGGCGAAGGCAGCCCCC